rnacentral:rRNA from 1 species
CCUACGGGAGGCAGCAGUGGGGAAUAUUGCGCAAUGGGCGAAAGCCUGACGCAGCGACGCCGCGUGAGGGAUGAAGGUCUUCGGAUCGUAAACCUCUGUCAGCAGGGAAGAACGGUCACUGUGCUAAUCAGCAGUGAAUUGACGGUACCUGAAAAGGAAGCACCGGCUAACUCCGUGGCAGCAGCCGAGGUAAUACGGAGGGUGCGAGGGUUAAUCGGAAUUACUGGGCGUAAAGCGAUCGUAGGCGGUAUGUUAAAUCAAGGGUGAAAUCCCCGGGCUCAACGUUGGAACUGCGUUUGAAACUGGCAGACUAGAGUGUGUGAGAAGGUAGUGGAAUUCCAGGUGUAGGAGUGAAAUCCGUAGAUAUCUGGAGGAACAUCAGUGGCGAAGGCGACUAUCUGGCACAUAACUGACGCUGAGGAACGAAAGCGUGGGUAGCAAACAGGAUUAGAUACCCUUGUAGUC